rnacentral:rRNA from 1 species
AUACGGAGGAUCCAAGCGUUAUCCGGAAUCAUUGGGUUUAAAGGGUCCGUAGGCGGGUUUGUAAGUCAGUGGUGAAAGUUUUCGGCUCAACCGGAAAAUUGCCAUUGAUACUGCAAGUCUUGAAUCAUUAUGAAGUGGUUAGAAUGUGUAGUGUAGCGGUGAAAUGCAUAGAUAUUACACAGAAUACCGAUUGCGAAGGCAGAUCACUAAUAAUGUAUUGACGCUAAGGGACGAAAGCGUGGGUUGCGAACAGGAUUAGAAACCCUAGUAGUCC